AAUUAUUAAUUUGAAAGAUGUUAAAUAAAGGAAUAAAGCAAGCAUUUAUUAUUGCCAGUGUGUGGGUGCGCACCCAAGGCAGCGCGCGACACAUUCCGCUGCCGAUCUCCCCCUUGGGGUGGGAAGAUCUUACAAACUGCAUGUCUCUCCCACUUAAAUUCGUAGUCAGCCUUAAAUAAACCCGGCCGCCUUCACCACAACACCGCCACCGAGACCGGUAGGGCCUGCCUCAGCAUCCGCCACGCCUUCUCGUACCCCGGAAGGGUGCGUGCGCGCUCUCGGAGAUAGGGGUCUUCAGCCGUGCGCGUGUGGAGCAGGGCCACGGCGCCUGCGCAGCGGAGGCUGUGGACCACAUUUCCCAAGAACACUGCGUUCCUGGGCCCGCCCAGUGUCCCAGAGUCCCUUUCGAGGCGGAAGCUGGGCUCCUCCCUGCGUCUCUUUCUGGGCCGUGGAGCUGUCCGCUCUGAAACCUGAGGAAGUCGUAGUUCAGGGAGGGGUAGCUCUUGCACCUAGGCCGUUAGGAACGAGUUUUAGGUUCGAAUCCCAUCUUAUGGAAGGUGGUAUUGGUCCCUUGGGUGUCCCACCCGUCUCAGCCAAACUGCGGGCCAUUUCCCGGGGCGAGCAAGGGGAGUUACCGCGCCAGUGGGUGGACUCGCCGCCUCUCGGAGUCGGGAGGAAGUCGAGCUGGGGUGCAGUUACGAGUCUCAGUUAAUAAUGAAUAGGGUGGCCAAUGGUGGGCCAGGCACAGUGGCUCACGCCUGUAAUCCCAGCACUUUGGGAGGCCGAGGCGGGCGGAUCACGAGGUUAGGAGAUAAGAGACCAGCCUGGCUAAUAUGGUGAAACCUCGUCUUUACUAAAAAUAAAAAAAUUAGCUGGGCAUGGUGGCGGGCGCCUGUAGUCCCGGCUACUCGGGAGGCUGUGGCAGGAGAAUCGCUUGAACCGAGGAGGCAGAGGUUGCAGUGAGCCGACAUCGCGCCACUGCACUCCAGCAUGGCGACAAAGCGAGACUACGUCUCAAACAAACAAACAAACAAACAAACAAAAAAAACAAAAAGAAAAGGAAAAAAAAGGGUGGCCAAUAUAGUGAAACCCCCUCUCUACUAAAAAUACAAAAAUUAGCUGGGCGUGGUGGCGCGCGCCUGUAGUCCCAGCUACUCGGGAGGCUGAGGCAGAAGAAUCGCUUGAAGCCGGGAGGCAAAGGUUGCAGUGACCCGAGAUUGCGCUACUGCACUCCAGCCUGGGCGACAGAGCGAGGUUCCGUCUCGAAAAAAAAAACAACGAAAAGGGGACUCACUUCGGAGAAGCUGCCCUCUCUGCAAACUUAUUUGAAGAUGUGGUCUUGCUAUGUUGCCCGGGCUGAGUGCAGUGACUAUUCACAGGCCGGAUCUAGUGCACUGCAGUCUUGAACUCCUGGCUUACAGUCCUGCUGGUUCUGAGAGGCAGGGGAAGAAACGGCCACCAUGCUCUGCAGCUAGGUCUCAGCAUGAGGACCAAGAACCCUGGUGUUCCUCCACUCAUCGGAGCCGUAUCAUUUUGGUGCAUUGGCCAGGAAAGGAAAUUCAAUCAUGAGACUGGUGAGUAUGGAGCGGAUUUCAACUUUAUAUCUGUUCUUUAGUCUCAAGGCUCUCUUCCAGCUACCCUGUCGCCAAAACUUUCUUUCUAUCUGUGGUCUCUCUGUGUGUCUAAUGUGCAGGAUUCUGUCUGUUAGAAAAGAUCGUGAAUCACGGCAUGCAGUAACUCAAUAAGUGUCUCUCUCUCUCUCUACGUUUUCUCUGGCAAGCACAUGGUAUUUCUAAGCCACCUAGUAGAAAUCAGGCUGUAGGCCUCUUCUAAGAAUGGGAAGUUUCUGCUUUUAACAGUUAGGAGUAGGAUGUCUUCCAUGGCCAAAUUUUAGUCUCAAUAUUGUCCCACUGGCAGGAAAACGGCCAUUCAGUUCCUAUGUUCCUUUAAGCCAUCUAUUCUGGCUCCUACUAAGACAGUGCUUAAUUAGUAAGGGGAUUUUAAGUCCAGAAGUUAACCGGAACCAUUCUUCUAUGGGUAAAUGCUUUAGCAUGGGCUAUAAUGGCAGGAUAUAGAGUUCAAUCUAUCACAUCCCCUCCCUUAAAGGGUCUCUUCCCAAUUACAUGGUUUUUCUUCAAAUCCAUUUUUUGGGAGGCACACAGGCCACCCAAGUCUAGGAGGUCAAAGGUAAAUAAAAGGCAGAGAACUGAUUGCUUGGGAACAGCGUGACUAUGGCCCAAAACUCAGAUCCUCUGGUGCCAUGGCUUGGAGGGUCACACCUGCAGUCAUGGGUGGAACAUUUAAAUGAGUGCUGGGAAUCCAGGAACAAAAGAGAAAAUAGUUGGGGGACGCCUCCUACUGCUUUCUUCUCCAUCCUGGAUUUCAUACCAAAAGGAAGGAGACUAAAAGGACGCUUUUAUUCUCACUUCUCUUUCUAGAUGGGUAACAGACCAUCUUCAACAUGCACUUCUCUUGAGUGUAUUUUGAAGCACUAGGACUCUUUCGACCUUGAAACUUUGAAGAAAAAGUGGCUUAUUUUCUUUUGCAGUCAUAUCAGGCAGGCCCAGGGAAAACAGUACCCCAAAAUUUAAAAAGUAACUUUCAGGGAAGUCAUCUGAGGGUCCCCCUUAUUUGGGGCCCCUUCAAGUUCCCUUCUCAUUGCAGGACCUUUGGCAAGUAAAGGGAGACUUAGGCUGGUUUUCUGAUGACCUUAAUAAGUAUAUGGAAGCUUUCCAAUAUUUAACUCAGGUAUGUAACCUCUCAUGAAGGGAUGUUAUGUUGCUGCUAAGGCAAACCCUUACUGUAGGUAAAAUAAGCAGCUCUGCAAGCAGAAGAAAAUUUUGGAGAUAAGUAAUGUCUCCUAUAGAAGGCCAAAAGGGAAAAGAAAAAAAUAGGGAAGGCAAAGGGGAAACACCAUUCCCAAUAGGAAAAGAGGCAAUACCUCCUGACAACCCUAAUUGGAACUCCUUUCUGUGGUGUUUUUCCUUGUUUUGCAGUUUAAAAUGGCUUCUCUUUUAUAAUGUUCUUCCAACAUGGAAAAGGUUAAUUUUCCAAACCUUAAAAUGUUUGGCAUAGAGUUGAGCUAGGGGGAAGGAAACCCAGCCCAGAAGCCUGAUAUGCUGGCAAAAGGGUAAAAAUUUCUUACCAGUCAGGCUUUUGGCUUCUCUCUUCCUGUGGAAACCGGCAAAAGGGAUAAUAAAGAUCAUUGUUUAUGUUUUCUUUAAAUUUAUAGUUAAUGAAAAAGGAUUUGUGAGGUUGGUCUUAAGCUGUAAACAAUCUGCUCUUCUUUGUAUGUCUUUCUGUGUGGUUCUGUUAAAGAAAAGGUAUCUUAGGUCAGGAUGCAGGCCCAGAAACCCAUAAGCCUGCUGUUCAAACCAGCCCAGCAAAGUAUCCAGUGGCAAACUUGGCUACAGGCCUCCAUCUUGUUUCAUGUCAUGGGAACAUAAUCUGUAACCAUGUGGCAAUACUUUGUUUUUGUCUCCGCCAUUUUACAAUGGUGGCUGUCUUCUUGUGCUAAAUCAGAUAAGCCAGUUUGUCAGUCUGGGCUGUGUCAGCUGAUCCAUCAAGGGCAGGGUUUACAAAACAUCUUAAGCACUGAUCAUAACAGCCGUUUAGGGAGGGUCAAAAUCUUGUAGCCUCCAAUUGCAUGGCUCUUGGGCCAUGGUUUCUAAUCCUGUAGCUAGUUUCUUGGUCUGGUCCCCAGGCAAAAGGGAAGUAUAUCUUGAGAAGCAGCUGCUAUCUUCUUUGUUUUAGACUAUAAACUGUAAACCAAGCUCCUCCCCAACUUGAUUCAGCCUAUGCCCGGGGAUGGGCAAGGACAGUUUGGGGACUGGAAACAAAAUGGAGUUGUUUGGGUGAGAUCUCUUCCACUGUCUCAGUCACAAUUUUGCAGUGACAGUUUCAAAAGCUGCCUGUCCGGGUGGAUCACGAGGUCAGGAGUUCAAGACCAGCCUAGUCAACAUGACGAAACCCUGUCUCUACUAAAAAAACAAAAAUUAGCCAGGCGUGGUGGCAUGCACCUGUAGUCCUGGCUACUCAGGAAGCUGAGGCAGAGGAAUUGCUUGAACCCAGGAGGCAGAGGUUGCAGUGAGCCAAGAUCAUGCUACUGCACUCCAGCCUGGGUGACAGAGCAAGACUCUGUCUCAGCAAAAAAAAAAAAAAAAAAAAAAAGCUGCCUGUCACUCCUUUAAAAAUACCUUUUACACUCCUGGUUAAGUCAUAACCUAAUUAAAGCUCUUUAGUUUUACCUGUGAGGUUACUUAUUGUAAAGUUCAAAAGCCAAAAAUCUUAACUGCUUGGCAUGGCUAAGGUCAAGUAACAAAGGAUUUAGAAGAAUUUUCUUAAAGAGUGCUCAGCUUAAUUAAAAGUGGAAAAUCAAGUUAUAGGUAUAUUAAAAGGCCUUUAUGUUUUUUCUUUUCUUGAAUCUUGUUUUUCUGGAAAAAGGCUCAUCUCAGCCGACUGAAUUAUUUUUCUCCAUUUUUUGUCUUACUACUCUUAAUGCAUGUAUAAAAGGCCCUAAGAUAACUUCUGGUAGCAUGGGACUCCUCAGGAAACACAGAGGAGGCGCCACAGACCCCGUUUUGGGAAAAAACCCUCUGUUUUCCUCAUGAAACCCCAGGAAUUAAAAGCAAAUAAUUCCCUCUCAAAAUCAAAGGCUCUGUUCUGUUUUGCAUUGUGUUAUCUGAUGGUUUUGAGUUUUGGGGGUAUCAGAAAUUACUUCGCAUUUUUACAAGAAAGCUUUGGUGUGUAAUAAUCAAGUAGAAAAUACACUGUAAGGGAUGGCUAAUAGUAGUUAUAAAUCAGGGAUGCUCUUGGCCACCUGGAAGAUAAGGAAACAUCCUCACCCUGCACUGGGAGAUGAGACUCCCAUCAGGGAUGGGCUAAUUACAAAAUAAGCCAAUUGGCUUUGGGCUGCCUUGCAAUGCAAUGCAUGGUAGAAGCACUACACCGUCCUCUCCCAUAGUAUCUAUAUGGUCUUUUCAUAAAUUAAGCAUUAAAAUAAAAGCAUAGCAAGGAGGUCUUAAGACACUAAUCUGCCCCUUAGUAAAAGGGUUAUAAAAGGUUUGUAAAGAUUUCACCUUGGCCGGGUGCGGUGGCUCACACCUGUAACCCCAGCACUUUGGGAGGCCGAGGCGGGCAGAUCACCUGAGGUCGGGAGUUCGAGACCAGGCUGACAAACAUGGAGAAGCCCCGUUUCUACUAAAAAUACAAAAUUAGCCAGGGGUGGUGGCACAUGCCUGUAAUCCCAGCUACUUGGGAGGCUGAGGCAGGAGAAUCGCUUGAACCUGGGAGGCGGAGGUUGCAGUGAGCUGAGAUCAUGCCCUUGCACUCUAGCCUGUGCAACAAGAAUGAAACUCCAUCUCAAAAAAAAAAGAAAAAAAAAGAUUUCACCUCAUGGUCAAAUUGGUUAGGAUUUGAUGGAAUAAUCUAUAAGGUUUCGUGUAAACAAAUUGGGGUUAACAUUAAUAAACUAAUGCAAGGGUAAAAUUUUGCUUUGAACAAGAUUUUCAUUUCAUAAUAAAGGCUAAUGAAAGGAUUUUGCCUUUUGAGUCAUCAUUUUGGCAAAAUAAUUUAUGGCAAUCUGGAAAUUGUCCUUCCUGAUACCUAACUUUUUGAAUGGUUUAGAGGGGCCCUGAAACAUUCAGAAAAGAGGUAAACAGG
rnacentral:lncRNA from 1 species